GUCGUAACAAGGUCUCCGUUGGUGAACCAGCGGAGGGAUCAUUACUGAGUUAUCAAAACUCCCAAACCCUUUGUGAACCUUACCGUCGUUGCCUCGGCGUGAGCUACGGCUACCCUGUAACUACCCUGGAGCUACCCUGGAGUUACCCUAUAGCUACCCUGCACUUACCCUGCAGCUACCCUAUAGCUACCCUGGAGCUACCCUGGAGCUACCCUGUAGUCGGCUUCGGCCCGCCGAAGGACCGUUAAACUCUUGUUUUUACCACUGUUUAUCUGAAUUUUAAACUAAAAUAAGUUAAAACUUUCAACAACGGAUCUCUUGGUUCUGGCAUCGAUGAAGAACGCAGCGAAAUGCGAUAAGUAAUGUGAAUUGCAGAAUUCAGUGAAUCAUCGAAUCUUUGAACGCACAUUGCGCCCAUUAGUAUUCUAGUGGGCAUGCCUAUUCGAGCGUCAUUUCGACCCCUAAGCCCCUGUUGCUUAGCGUUGGGAAUCUACGGCGUAGUUCCUCAAAGUUAGUGGCGGAGUUAGGGUACACUCUCAGCGUAGUAAUUUCUCUCGCUCGUGUGGUGGCCCUGGCUGCUAGCCGUUAAAACCCCUAUAUUUUCUAGUGGUUGACCUCGGAUUAGGUAGGAAUACCCGCUGAACUUAAGCAUAUCAAUA
rnacentral:rRNA from 1 species